rnacentral:rRNA from 1 species
GGAUUUUCCGGUUGAUCUGCCAGAGGUUACUGCUAUCGAGGUUCGACUAAGCCAUGCGAGUCGAAUGUAGCAAUACAUGGCGUACUGCUCAGUAACACGUGGAUAACCUACCGUUGAGACGGGGAUAAACCCGGGAAACUGGGUAUAAUACCCGAUAGAUCUCGACUGCUGGAAUGCAUCGAGCUUGAAAGCUCCGGCGCUCAAGGAUGGGUCUGCGGCCUAUCAGGUAGUAGUGGGUGUAGCGUACCUACUAGCCUACGACGGGUACGGGUUGUGAGAGCAAGAGCCCGGAGAUGGAUUCUGAGACACGAAUCCAGGCCCUACGGGGUGCAGCAGGCUCGAAAACUUUACAAUGCUGGAAACAGCGAUAAGGGGACCUCGAGUGCCAGGUUACAAAUCUGGCUGUCGUGAUGCCUAAAAAGCAUUGCAUAGCAAGGGCCGGGCAAGACCGGUGCCAGCCGCCGCGGUAACACCGGCGGCUCGAGUGGUAACCGUUAUUAUUGGGUCUAAAGGGUCUGUAGCCGGCCGGAUAAGUCUCUUGGGAAAUCUGGCAGCUUAACUGUCAGGCUUUCAGGAGAUACUGUCUGGCUCGAGGCCGGGAGAGGUGAGAGGUACUUCAGGGGUAGGGGUGAAAUCUUGUAAUCCUUGAAGGACCACCAGUGGCGAAGGCGUCUCACCAGAACGGACCUGACGGCAAGGGACGAAAGCUAGGGGCACGAACCGGAUUAGAUACCCGGGUAGUCCUAGUCGUAAACGAUACUCGCUAGGUGUCGGCAACGGUGCGACCGUUGUCGGUGCCGUAGGGAAGCCGUGAAGCGAGCCACCUGGGAAGUACGGCCGCAAGGUGAAACUUAAAGGAAUUGGCGGGGGAGCACCACAACGGGUGGAGCUUGCGGUUUAAUUGGAGUCAACGCCGGA